rnacentral:rRNA from 1 species
AAAGGAAUUGACGGGGACCCGCACAAGCAGCGGAGCGUGUGGUUUAAUUCGUUGCUACACGAAGAACCUUACCUGGGUUUGACAUAUAGGUUGUAGGGAACUGAAAAGGGACCGACCUUCGGGAGCCUAUACAGGUGUUGCAUGGCUGUCGUCAGCUCGUGUCGUGAGAUGUUCGGUUAAGUCCGCUAACGAGCGCAACCCUCGUCGUAUGUUAUAUGUGUCAUACGAGACUGCCGGUAAAAGCCGGAGGAAGGUGAGGAUGAUGUCAAGUCAGCAUGACCUUUAUAUCCAGGGCUACACACACGCUACAAUGGUCUGUACAAUGGGUAGCCAAGCCGCGAGGCGGAGCCAAUCCUGAAAGCAGGCCUCAGUUCAGAUUGCAGUCUGCAACUCGACUGCAUGAAGCCGGAGUUGCUAGUAACCGCAGGUCAGCAAUACUGCGGUGAAUACGUUCCCGGGUCUU